UACGAAGGGGGCUAGCGUUGUUCGGAAUUACUGGGCGUAAAGCGCACGUAGGCGGACUAUUAAGUCAGGGGUGAAAUCCCGGGGCUCAACCCCGGAACUGCCUUUGAUACUGGUAGUCUCGAGUCCGGAAGAGGUGAGUGGAAUUCCGAGUGUAGGGGUGAAAUUCGUAGAUAUUCGGAGGAACACCAGUGGCGAAGGCGGCUCACUGGUCCGGUACUGACGCUGAGGUGCGAAAGCGUGGGGAGCAAACAGG
rnacentral:rRNA from 1 species